rnacentral:rRNA from 1 species
AGUAACGCGUGGAUAACCUGCCUCACACUGGGGGAUAACAGUUAGAAAUGACUGCUAAUACCGCAUAAGCGCACAGUACCGCAUGGUACAGUGUGAAAAACUCCGGUGGUGUGAGAUGGAUCCGCGUCUGAUUAGCUAGUUGGUAAGGUAACGGCUUACCAAGGCGACGAUCAGUAGCCGACCUGAGAGGGUGACCGGCCACAUUGGGACUGAGACACGGCCCAA